UAUGAUGCAAGAAUUAAGAGAUGAAGUUAGAUUCAGUUGUACUAUGUGUUUGUGAAGUGGUAGGUGGUAGUUAACGUCGUUAAGGCAUAACUAUUUCAGGUAGUUUCAAUUAAACAUUUUAGUCCUCAGUUUGUUUUUAAGUAUAAGUUUGCUAUUUUAGACCUGAAAAGGAACCUGGAGUUACUGCUAAAGUUGUUGCCAUGUGACCAGUAGGUCACGGGCUCAAGCCGUGGAAACAGACCCUUGCAGAUAUGUACGGUGAGGCUGCAUACAACAAACCCUUGUGGUCCGUCCCUUCUCCGACCCCUGCACAUAGCAGGAGAUUUAACGCACCUGGUUGCCCUUUUGUUAUUUUGAACCUAGCUCCAGUUAAUAAACUAAAAAGAACACUUCUGGUAAAAUUCCAUGUUUAGUAGUAGUAUUAAAAAGAAGCCUUAUGAAGCUUACCUAAAUUUGGGUCUUGAACCAUGAUAAGAAUCCCCUCUCCAAAGCGUGUGAUAAGAAUCAGAUUCCGUUAAUAAACAAGAAAAUAAUGCGGAAGCAAAACUUCUAAGAUUACAGGCAAGAAAUUAAAGAUACGCAAAAUUGGAGAAUAAAAUCCCCAAUUUCGAGGUUAAGUGCUAAAAACCCUAAUUGAUCUUAGUAUUCAAAAUUAGUAGAUUAAGACUAAUUAUUAUACUAAUAGAGUUAAUUCAAGAACUUAGAUCAAAAGUGAUCUAGACCCCUAUUUCAAAGAAACUAAAGACAACAAUUAGUAUAAGACUAAUCACUUCUUUAAUUAGAUUUUAAUAGAAACCAAAGAUAUCAAAUUAAGAAUUAAUCUUACCUCCUAAAGAAUCGUUCUUAUAGGGUUGCAAGAUAAAUCCCAAGUAGCCAUACACAAAGGUGUAAAUAAGAGAAACUUUCAAUUAAUAAUAAUAUUGUCUGCUUGAAAAUAACAAAAUCCAUCCCUAUAUAUAGGGAAAAAAAAACUAUCCCAAAUAACAUAGAAUUGGGAUCUACCUUUAUCAAAUCUAACUAGGACUAGGAAAAAGCUAUCCCAAAUAGCAUGAGAUUAGGAUCUACUAUUAUGAAAAUAAUAAAUAAAAUCCUACUAGGACUAGGAAAGCAUAUAAAAAUAAUACUAAAAAUUCUCCCCUACGAAAUAAGGGAAAGCUUCCAAAUUUACUCACAACCCAUAUGGAUCCACUCUUCUUCCUUUUGGGCUUGGACUUGAAUCAUGAAAUAUGUGUAGCACUUUGCCCAUUCCUCUUCAUAAUUCUUGGACUCGUUCUUGGGCUCUUCUUCCAUCAUAAACAUCUUCCUGAUUCACAUUGAAGCCCAUCAAUCUUAAUGCAAGCGGGCCAGCCGGAUGCUAUCAUUCCCCUCUUCUUGAAAAUAAUUCAUCCUUGAAUUUGAAUCUCGUAUAAUCAAGAUGACAUACAAUAUUAAACAACAUCCAUUACUUGAAAACAACAAUGGUAGGAACAAAACAAGAUAGUGACCAUGCGUCCACUUAACCCAAUCAAUUCUUUCAUGGAUAAAUAUACCUUUAUAAAGCAUGCGGACAUCAUCAUCCCAAUAGAAAAUUCUCUUCCUUGUAUGAGCACAACAAUAUUCUUGUUUAGAUGACGUAGGGAAUGAUAUAUGUCUCUCCAAUUUAGCUCUAUCAAUAAAGUACUCCACUGGACUUGUCAAAGACGUCAUAAGCUCCAUAAAAUAUGUAUCAAAUUUAAUACUUUUAUGAUAUAGCCGAGCAUCAUUAAUUACACUUCUCAAAGAUUUUUUCACAUAAUAUUUAUUCACAUAAGCUUAGGAGAUUUCAAGAAGGUUAGAAGAAUCUUUCAAUCUCAAAAUACAAUCUCCAUUAAAUUCUAAGUAGCUGCUCAAAUUCACCAACAAGGAAUCAUGAAUAGGUUCAACAAUGGGCAUUUGAUCAAUUGUAUUAUAAUAGUCAUAGAUUUCCUCAUCACUAGUAGCAAACAUUUUUUUAACCUUACAAUUACCAAGAUUUGAGGAGUUUUGCCUUAAUUUGGUCUUAUGUAGCAAAGGAAUAAUAUCACCUCAUUUUUCCUUGCUCAUUGGCGUUAGAUCUACAUCUGCUUUGUUGGACUUUUUUCAUAAGUCUCAUCUUGGACAAGUCCAAAAUAAUUCUCCUUACUUAUAUCCUUCUUAUGAACAAACACUUGCUCAAUGGGACAUGUAGUUUCAACCACCUUAGUAUUAAGUUCAUCCAAUGAAGUAUCAACCACCUUAGUAUUAAGUUCAUCCAAUGAAGUAUUAAGUUCAUCCAAUGAAGGCUUUUCAAUACAAACUUUUCCGUGAGUACCUAUAAGAGAGUCAAAGCAACUAAAAGAAGUAGAAAGGUUAGAGUUAGAAGAAAAAAUAACCUCACUCAAACCCCCUUGUUUUUCUUUCUUGACCUAAUUAUUUUCCCUCUCUUUAAUACUCUCAUGAUCAUCUCUCUUUUCUUUUCUCUUGACCUUACUUGACAUCCCAUUCUCUUCACAUAACACAAUUUUUUUUCUUCUCUCUCUUGGAAUAUCAUCAUGCACUCCCUUACUCCUAUCAUUCUUUUCUCUCAAAAUUUUUCAUUGUUUCUUUCACACAUUUCUGAUCUUUAUAAACUUGGGAUGGGGUUAAAGGUACAAGUUUAUAUUUUCUUUUGUUUAGCUCAAGAGAAACUUUAUUCUUCCCCCUAUCAUAAAUUGCAUUCCUAUCAAAUUUUCAUGGACGCCCAAGCUUGAUAUGACAAUCUUGCAUUGGAAUUACAUCACAAAGAACAUUAUCAGAGUACCUUCUAAUAGAGAAAGAAAUCAUGCAUUGCUUAGUCGCCUUAAGUUCACCAAAAUUAUUGUGUUUGAUGCAUGUAAGUUUCAAUUUCUCCACCACGUAUGAACUUAUCACAUUAGCACCACUUUUAAAAUCAAUAAUCAUAGAGCAAAUAAUAUCCUUUAUUCCACACCUUAUAUGAAAAAUACUGCUCGUCAAAUCAAUUAUAUUCACCUGGUUAGGUGGAUAUUAGAUAACCUCUAAUACAUCAAGUCGAGUGGAGACCUUUUAAGUUCCUUGGCUAUGUCAUUGGUUUGAGUUUCAACAUCAGUAUCCUUUCCUAUUUGAGACAUCUCAAAAAUAAUAUCAAAGGAAAUAAAAAUUUCACUAUUUUUGGCCCUUUUUCCGCUUAUUGAUCUCACACUCUUGCCCUUUUUUCACUCAAAUUACAACCUUUAGCUGAUUCCUUUAGAAUUUAUAUAUUAACCCUACUAGUAGAAAUUCCUUUAGAAGUAAGAAACAGAGAAAAAAAAAUUACGAACUUCUAGACGAAUUGGAUUUGGUGAGACAAGAAGAAAGAUCAAUUUUAAAAAAAAAAAAAUCUAAAUUUGUAUGCAAUUUAAAAAAAAAAUUGGCUACUACGUAACUUUUUAAAAAAAAAUCUACUAAAAGAAAAAAAAAAGAGUAAGGAUUUUUUUUGCUAUGAAACUCCCAAGAAUUAUCAAGAACAGAACCUUGAUAAAACCGCUCUGAUACCACUUGAUAAGAAUCGGGUUACGUUAAUAAACAAGAAAAUAAUAUGGAAGCAAAACUACUAAGAUUACAGUCAAGAAAUUAAAGAUAGGCAAAAUUGGAGAAUAAAAUCCCCAAUUUCGAGGUUAAGUGCUAAAAACCCUAAUUGAUCUUAGUAUUCAAAAUUAGCAGAUUAAGACUAAUUAUUAUACUAAUAGAAUUGAUUCAAGAACUUAUAUCAAAAGUGAUCUAGACCCCUAUUUCAAAAAACUAAAGACAACAAUUAGUAUAAGACUAAUCAUCUUCUUUAAUUAACUUUAAUAGAAACCAAAAAUAUCAAAUUAAGAAUUAAUCUUACCUCCUAAAGAAUCGUUCUUAUAGGGUUGCAAGAUAAAUCCCAAGUAGUCAUACACAAAGGUGUAAAUAAGAGAAACU
rnacentral:lncRNA from 1 species